rnacentral:lncRNA from 1 species
GCAUGUUGUGUUAUUCUGCCUCAAUGACUAUGGUUUUUAGAGGCUCUGUGAGUUUUGUUGGGUCUGUUCUAUAAGCUGUACUAGUAUAAGCUGUUAGUGUAAUUCCUGUGUAGCUGUCACACAGUUAUGUUGCUAACUGAACUCAAAUUCCCCCUCUUUCUUUUUUUCCAGUCUGCUUACCGUGUCCCGAAGGGUUUUAUUCCACAGGAGGGAAUGAAAACUGCCAACCUUGGACCAAUUGCAGCGUUCUUGGGAAAAAUACCCUUCGACCAGGGACAAAAACAGCUGAUGCUGUUUGCAGCAACCAUAUCACACAGCCAGCCACCUCUCAGAGUGCAACACCUGCUCUGAGUCUUUCCACCGCUGACCACAAGAAUAAUACGUCGACUGCAACGUUCUCACCAUCCAGACCCAGCGUGAUUCCUUUCAUUUGCACAGAUACGAACAGCCCCACAGAGACUAACUGGGGUAAGGAGAGGCAAUAACCAAGUCUAGUCUCUAUUUACUAGAGCUGGUCAGUAAUUUUCACCUGAAAUUAAUUUCAUUGGGAAUGAAAUCACACUCAUUCUCAGAAGCCAUAUCUGUAUUUUACACAGUCUUUCAGUGAGGCGCAUACAGGAUUCCAGACUUCUUGCUUGGCAGCUGGGACUUCUAGACUUCAUGGUUCAGGGGUACUUCUGGAGUUGUAGGUUCCUUCUCUUGAAGCUGGAAAGCCAUGGGAACUCCAGCUAGAACCAUGCAUCUUUUUCAGUGUAUUAUUCUAUUUUUCCUUCCAGGGUCUUUAUCACUUAUCCUUAUUUGUCUGAUAUUGCUCAUGGUGAGUGGAAUGUCGAUCCUCCUGUUGAUUAUCCAAGCAGCCAAAAAAGAGACCAAGAGGAGGAAAACCCGUCCAGGAGCAGGGAGCUGUCGAUUUCCUGUCCAGGAAGAACAAAUUGACUCCAAUUCUAGUCUUAUCAAAAACUGA